GACGAACCGUCCGAACGUUAUUCGGAAUCACUGGGCUUAAAGGGUGCGUAGGCGGCGCGGAAAGUUGGGUGUGAAAUCCCUCGGCUUAACCGAGGAAUGGCGCCCAAAACUACCGUGCUUGAGGGAGAUAGAGGUGAGCGGAACUUAGGGUGGAGCGGUGAAAUGCGUUGAUAUCCUAAGGAACACCGGUGGCGAAAGCGGCUCACUGGAUCUCUUCUGACGCUGAUGCACGAAAGCUAGGGUAGCGAACGGG
rnacentral:rRNA from 1 species